CUUAUUCCGCCAUUUUUACGCGACCUGCAAGGGGUCACAGUUCAAGCUUCCACACGGAGAGGCGAAGGAGUGCAUCCGAAAGAACUGAUUUGACAAUGCAGGAGGGCGAAGGAAUGAAUUUCAGAGGCGGGCAAACUCGAAGAAUUCCUAAAAUCGAGUAACGUGCUGUAUAUCGAAUGGCUGUGAAUAAUACGAAUACGUCGUAUAACGAAUACUUAGGAAAUAAUUUCCGUGGAAUAAGCUGGAUAACAAUAUUUAACGUAAAAUAUUAACCAACGUAAUAUUAACUAGUUCAUAGUUUUCGGAAUAGUAAUUCAAUAUUUUCUACUACGUGAGAUAGAAAGAGAGAAUUAAAAAAAUUAUUAAAAAUGUUGGAGCCAGUUUUGGGGAUAUCUCCGAUUUGGUGGUUAAUAGCUUACGCCAGUAUGUUGUUAUUGCUCUCGCCCUUAGUUUUACUGGUUGUACUAUUUUUGCCGAACUUACCGAUUCUUUUGCUCAGAAGAAUGUGCUAUAUUCCCGUGGAGCCGAUAUAAAUACAGAUUAUAUCGUACUUUAGUAAAAUUGAUGAUUUUCCUUUGGUUUCUUUUUUUUUUCUUGUUAUCGUAAGAAUCGAACGAAAUCAGUUAGCAUUGUACUCUGAAUUUGUUCUUGCUUUCGAAUAAAGAAGCGAGAAUCGGUAUAUCGACCGUGCGUAUAUAAGUACAUACAUAUAGUUGAUGCGAAUGGAUAAGAAUCAAUAGAACAGAUGAGUUAAUUUAUAACAGACAUAAAUGCUUCUAUUGAUGCUCUAUUUAUAUUUUACAUAUGUGUGUAGAUUAUGUAUGUAAAAAAUCACAAUUCAAUAAACGGCAUAUUAGGAUCUGCGGGUUCGAUGACACGUUGCGUCGAAUUUGAUCCGUCAAUUUUCAGACAA
rnacentral:misc_RNA from 1 species